ACAAAGAGGCCAUCGCAAAAACCAGCCCGUAACCCACACCACCUCCCCAGCGUUUACGGCUCAAGGAGCAGCAUGAAGAGGGAUGGAAAGGCUGUAAGAGCCAGGACCUCCAAAAGUCUGCUCUGAAACGCUCUCCCAGAGACGGCUGCACACACAAGACCAGAACAAGGGCAAUUUCAAUGGCUAUGGUAACCUGCAGCAGGGAAGAAACCGUGGGAUCCCAUCCCUAGGUGAAGAACUACAGGGACUACUCGAUCCUGGGGGAAAGAGAAUUCGUCUCUUCCAGGAGUGAGCUCAUGUACUGCUGCCAGUGCUGAGUGCCCAGGCCUGAAGCCACAGACACACAAACAACAAAGCUGGACUCAGCACAGUGCUAUACAUCCGAUCCACACGCAUAUAUACGGUAUUUAACACAGCAACCAAAGAAAGAAAGGCUGCAACUCUCCCUCUCAAGGAAGACACCUGAGGGUCUGGAAUUUAUUGUUGCUGUUGUCAGAGGUCACACAGAAGAUCUCAGCAUAUGAACCUAUGUUCCAAAGAGGAUGGCACGGCAGAGCACCGGGAAGCUGGGCGACACCUCACGAAGAACGAGGAAGAACUCUUCUACCUGCUAUACUCACUGCUUUAGUCCCAAUGCCGAGCACAUGGAUGACAACUGCUCCGUGCGCAAUUUCAGCUAUUUGAAUAAAGCGUAAUUGGCAAAAUU
rnacentral:lncRNA from 1 species